rnacentral:sRNA from 1 species
GUAAAUUACCCACCACUUCCCUGAGGGUGAGUGGGGGCUUUUAAAGCCCAGAGUUUACCCGACUAAGUGUUAAAUCACUAGGAUUUUCAGGUCAUCUCACCUACAAAUACGCAGCCAGUUUGUAGCUGCUGAGGUUAACAGUUAAACAGGCUUAUUGGGUUAAUCCAGUGCUGUUAGCGUAAAAAGCCUUUAAAUCUUUGUCCAGGCUAACAUUACCCGCAAGG